rnacentral:tRNA from 1 species
GUCAGGAUGGCCGAGCGGGUCUCAAGGCGCUUGCGUUCAGGUCGCAGUCUCCCCCUGGAGGCGUGGGUUCGAAUCCCACUUCUGACA